rnacentral:rRNA from 1 species
AGUUUGAUCCUGGCUCAGGAUGAACGCUGGCGGCGUGCCUAACACAUGCAAGUCGAACGGUCAGAGUAUUUCGGUAUUCUGAUAGUGGCGAACGGGUGAGUAACACGUUGGUGACCUGCCCCGAAGUGGGGAACAACUCCUCGAAAGAGGAGCUAAUACCCCAGAUGUUUGAGUGGUUAGAAGACUUAAACUAAAGUUCUUAGGAAUGCUUUGGGAGGGGCCUGCGGGCUAUCAGCUAGUUGGUGAGGUAAAAGCUCACCAAGGCGAAGACGGCUAGGGGGCGUGAGAGCGUGACCCCCCACAAGGGAACUGAGGAACGGUCCCUACUCCUACGGGAGGCAGCAGUGAGGAAUAUUGAGCAAUGGGCGCAAGCCUGACUCAGCAACGCCGCGUGGAUGACGAAGGCCUUCGGGUUGUAAAAUCCUUUUCUGGGGGAAGAUAAUGACGGUACCCCAGGAAUAAGUUCCGGCUAACUACGUGCCAGCAGCCGCGGUAAAACGUAGGGGACAAGCGUUAUCCGGAUUUACUGGGCGUAAAGCGCAUGUAGGUGGCUUGGCAAGUUGGAUGUGAAAGCUCCUGGCUUAACUGGGAGAGGUCAUUCAAAACUGCGAGGCUUGAGGAUGGAAGAGGAGAGCGGAAUUCCCGGUGUAG